rnacentral:rRNA from 1 species
GAUGAACGCUAGCGACAGGCUUAACACAUGCAAGUCGAGGGGCAGCACGGGAGUAGCAAUACAACUGGUGGCGACCGGCGCACGGGUGAGUAACGCGUAUGCAACCUACCUAUCAGAGGGGAAUAACCCGGCGAAAGUCGGACUAAUACCGCAUAAAACAGGGGCACCGCAUGGUGAUAUUUGUUAAAGAAAUUCGCUGAUAGAUGGGCAUGCGUUCCAUUAGGUAGUUGGUGAGGUAACGGCUCACCAAGCCGACGAUGGAUAGGGGAACUGAGAGGUUGGUCCCCCACACUGGUACUGAGACACGGACCAGACUCCUACGGGAGGCAGCAGUGAGGAAUAUUGGUCAAUGGGCGGGAGCCUGAACCAGCCAAGUCGCGUGAAGGAAGAAGGAUCUAUGGUUCGUAAACUUCUUUUGCAGGGGAAUAAAGUGCAGGACGUGUCCUGUUUUGUAUGUACCCUGAGAAUAAGGAUCGGCUAACUCCGUGCCAGCAGCCGCAGUAACAC